AUCGAACGCUGGCGGCAGGCCUAACACAUGCAAGUCGAACGAGUGGCGGACGGGUGAGUAAUUUCUGGGAACCUGCCUGAUGUAGGGGGAUAACUACUGGAAACGGUAGCUAAUACCGCAUACCAUCGGAUGUGCCCAGAUGGGAUUAGCUAGUCGGUGGGGUAAAGGCUCACCUAGGCGACGAUCCCUAGCUGGUCUGAGAGGAUGACCGGCCACACUGGAACUGAGACACGGUCCAGACUCCUACGGGAGGCAGCAGUGGGGAAUAUUGCACAAUGGGCGCAAGCCUGAUGCAGCCAUGCCGCGUGUAUGAAGAAGGCCUUCGGGUUGUAAAGUACUUUCGGCAGGGAGGCGUUACCCGAAGAAGAAGCACCGGCUAACUCCGUGCCAGCAGCCGCGGUAAUAC
rnacentral:rRNA from 1 species